ensembl:misc_RNA Metazoa_SRP Metazoan signal recognition particle RNA
GCUGGGCAUGGUGGUGCGUGUCUGUAGUUCCAGCUUCUUGUGAGGCUGAGGCAGGAGGAUUGCUUGAGGCCAGGAGUUUGAGGAUGCAGUGAGCUAUGAUCAUGCCACUGCACUCCAGCCUGGGUGACAGAGCAAGACCCUGUCUCUA